UGGGUCAGGACGAACGCUGGCGGCAUGCCUAACACAUGCAAGUCGAACGGAGAGCGGAAGUUUCGAUGGAAGCUUUUAGUGGCGGACGGGUGAGUAACGCGUGGAUAACCUGCCUGAGAGUGGGGGAUAACAGCCCGAAAGGGCUGCUAAUACCGCAUAACGUUGUUUGGGGACAUCCCCGGGCAACCAAAGGAGCAAUCCGCUUUUGGAUGGGUCCGCGUCCGAUUAGCUAGUUGGUGAGGUAAUAGCUCACCAAGGCGACGAUCGGUAGCCGGCCUGAGAGGGUGAACGGCCACACUGGGAAUGAGACACGGCCCAGACUCCUACGGGAGGCAGCAGUGGGGAAUUUUCCGCAAUGGGCGAAAGCCUGACGGAGCAAUGCCGCGUGGGGGAGAAGGUUUUCGGAUUGUAAACCCUUUUUUCGGGAAGAAGAUGACGGACCGAGAGGAAGCCGGCAAUA
rnacentral:rRNA from 1 species